ACCUGGGUGGCUCAGUCGGCUGAGCGUCUGACUUCAGCUCAGGUCAUGAUGUCGUGGCUUGUGGGUUCAAGCCCCGCAUUGGGCU
rnacentral:tRNA from 1 species